GGAUGUGAGGGUGAUCUGGCUGCUACAUCUGUCACUCCACUCAUCACCAAGGUCGAUUCAGCUGAUCUAGCUGCCGAGGCGGGUGUCCCCUUCCCGCUCAUCACUCCACGUGUAUCCCUCCCGAAACUACAUGCUUGGUCAAAGAGGACAACCUUCCCUGAUAGAGCAGGACAUGCCUUUGGUUAAGGGACCCAAGAACCUGCGCUCUCCUGCUAGGAACUCCAAACAAGGCCUUGAGAGUACCUGGGUUUGAGUCUCGGCUGUGCUCCACACUGGAGCUUCCGUC
rnacentral:snRNA from 1 species